GGCAAGGUGGCCGAGCGGUCUAAGGCGCCAGGUUCAGGUCCACUUGAACUUACUCUCCAGAGUAUUUCCUGGUCUCGCAAGAGGCGUGGGUUCGAAUCCCACCCUUGUCA